ACACUGCGUGAGCGGAACGAAAACAACAACACCUAAAAUGUGGAAUAUAGCAUAUAGUCGACAAGAGAAAUCUACGAAAAACAAACAAAACUUUCAACAACGGAUCUCUUGGUUCUCGCAUCGAUGAAGAGCGCAGCGAAAUGCGAUACCUAGUGUGAAUUGCAGCCAUCGUGAAUCAUCGAGUUCUUGAACGCACAUUGCGCCCCUCGGCAUUCCGGGGGGCAUGCCUGUUUGAGCGUCGUUUCCAUCUUGCGCGUGCGCAGAGUUGGGGGAGCGGAGCGGACGACGUGUAAAGAGCGUCGGAGCUGCGACUCGCCUGAAAGGGAGCGAAGCUGGCCGAGCGAACUAGACUUUUUUUCAGGGACGCUUGGCGGCCGAGAGCGAGUGUUGCGAGACAACAAAAAGCUCGACCUCAAAUCAGGUAGGAAUACCCGCUGAACUUAAGCAUAUCA
rnacentral:misc_RNA from 1 species